UUAAGUGACAUGAGUAGAAGACACCACCAUCACAUGGUUCUACAGCAUGGUGGAAGUUGAAAUGACCAAAUGUGCUUCAGUCAACGAGACGAUGCAAGAAGCCUGCUCUUCUGGCACAAAGCACCACAGUCAAAACAGCACAGAGAUAACAUUCCACAGCUUCUAAUCUCUGUCAAAUCUCUGGUUAUCAGUGCUUCUCAUCCUCACUCUGCUGCUCCAAGGGUCAGCAUGCAUGCAGCCUCAUGCCAGCUGCAGGCUUGGACAUGCCACCUUCAGCAGGAACCAUCGAGGUUCUGCUGAAGGAACAUGACGAGGCCUGACUGGAGGAAACAUUGAACAAUUUACAACUUAUACACAUAGUUAGUACUUAAAACAACAAAACUACAUAUGUACCAUACAGGAAAGCCACCCAGUUUGACCUAACAACACAUUUGCAUGACACUUCACCAUUGUUGGCUCACUUUUCACAUGCAACACAUCCCAGUGGCACACAGAUACACAAUAGGAAGUGCUUCAGACAACAAGAACAACUUUUAAAGCAUCCAUUGCUUUAAAAGUCCAACUGAAACCAUCAAGUGCACAUCAUGUGAAUGGUGAAGAAGACUCACAUUCGUUUGUCCGGGUUCAACUGCCGGUGCAUGGCAAGAGAGAAGCCAAAAAGACUCCCAGGCUGUCCGUCCUUCCUGAUCACAUGGCUGGUGUCCAGGUUAAAGCCCAGCAAUAAAGGUGCGUUGAAAAGGUAGCAAAGUCCCACACAAAGUGCACCGGAGAAUCUCCCCUGCAGCAGCAUCCUGGUGUCUGGUCUUGUGGUAGAAGAUAGGAGAAGAAGCCGAGUGGCUCCUGUGCUCUCAGCUUCGCCGACACUGAGGCGCUGCGGUGUGGACGACUGUAGGGCACAGCCGCUUUCUCACCUCCGGGGAUGUCAGCUCCUGCUCAACAGUGACCCCUACGGCCAUAGAAGGCUGAAGAUAUGCCAUGGAUACACGUUCUACAAGUUAAAGAGCAGGUCAGCUGGACAAACAAACCUCCUGACUUGACACCAGGAUGGGGGACAAGCAGCUGCUGUCAGCAGAGGGGACUAUUUGAAGGACUGCGACGCGGUGGAGUGACAGGAUUGAAAGAGAUUUGCUUUAUCAAUUCAAGCUACAGUGUGCCUAAUGUAGUGGCUGGCUUGCCUUACCCUGGAGGCAAAGAGGUGUGUAAGUGCCUUCACCUGAGUCCCGGCCGCCACACAAAAGAGCACUUUCAUGUCACGCCGGCCCCGGGCAGGUUGGCGUAACUGGAGCUGAGGAAGGAGGGUUCUAUUGUGUCCGAUUGUCGACUUGACGGCCGAUCAGGUGACCACCUGCAGGUGGC